rnacentral:lncRNA from 1 species
GAGCCAAGUAGAAGACAAGGAAAUUUGCAUCUUUUUUCUACUUCAAUUAUGUCCACUCUAUGAUUGCGUAUAUGUUAAAUCAAACAUCACUAGUACGAGAGAAAAAUAUAUCCUUUCCAAUGCUUCAACGAAGUGUUUAGAGUUUAACAGCACUGAUAACUAGUUCAAGGAUUUGACAGUUAAUGACAAUUAGUUUUGGAGAAUUUGAGUGAUUAUAGAAUGUUUUAUGCAGUCUUUUAUGAUAGUGCAAUAUUAUCUAUUGUUGUCAUA